GUAACAAGGUCUCCGUUGGUGAACCAGCGGAGGGAUCAUUACCGAGUACUAUAACUCAUAACCCUUUGUGAACCUUUAUACCUGUUGCUUCGGCGGCGCGCCUCUCGGGGCGUGCCCGCCGGCAUUAUCAGAAUCUCUGUUCGAACCCGACGAUACAUCUGAGUGUUCUAAGCGAACUGUUAAAACUUUCAACAACGGAUCUCUUGGCUCCAGCAUCGAUGAAGAACGCAGCGAAACGCGAUAUGUAAUGUGAAUUGCAGAAUUCAGUGAAUCAUCGAAUCUUUGAACGCACAUGGCGCCUUCCAGUAUCCUGGGAGGCAUGCCUGUCCGAGCGUCGUUUCAACCCUCGAGCCCCCGUGGCCCGGCGUUGGGGAUCUGCCCAGGCAGUCCCCGAAAACCAGUGGCGGACCCGUCGGGCCCUUCCUUUGCGUAGUAAUAUCUGCCUCGCAUCGGGAGCCCUCGGGCUAUCCGGCCUCUAAACCCCCCUCAAGCCCGCUCCGGCGGCACCAAGGUUGACCUCGGAUCAGGUAGGAAUACCCGCUGAACUUAAGCAUAUCA
rnacentral:misc_RNA from 1 species